UGGGGAAUAUUGGACAAUGGGGGCAACCCUGAUCCAGCAAUGCCGCGUGUGUGAAGAAGGUUUUCGGAUUGUAAAGCACUUUCGACGGGGACGAUGAUGACGGUACCCGUAGAAGAAGCCCCGGCUAACUUCGUGCCAGCAGCCGCGGUAAUACGAAGGGGGCUAGCGUUGCUCGGAAUGACUGGGCGUAAAGGGCGUGUAGGCGGUUUGUACAGUCAGAUGUGAAAUCCCCGGGCUUAACCUGGGAGCUGCAUUUGAUACGUGCAGACUAGAGUGUGAGAGAGGGUUGUGGAAUUCCCAGUGUAGAGGUGAAAUUCGUAGAUAUUGGGAAGAACACCGGUGGCGAAGGCGGCAACCUGGCUCAUAACUGACGCUGAGGCGCGAAAGCGUGGGGAGCAAACAGGAUUAGAUACCCUGGU
rnacentral:rRNA from 1 species